CCUACGGGAGGCAGCAGUGGGGAAUCUUGGACAAUGGGGGCAACCCUGAUCCAGCGAUACCGCGUGUGUGAAGAAGGCCUGCGGGUUGUAAAGCACUUUUAGUGGCGAGAAAAGAUACUAGUUUAAGAGAUAAGUAUUUUGAUGUCAGCCACAGAAAAAGCACCGGCAAACUCUGUGCCAGCAGCCGCGGUAAUACAGAGGGUGCAAGCGUUAAUCGGAAUGACUGGGCGUAAAGGGCGUGUAGGCGGUUAAAUAAGUUAGUUGUGAAAUACCAGAGCUUAACUUUGGAAUGGCAACUAAAACUAUUUGGCUAGAAUGCAGCAGAGGUAAGGGGAAUUUCCGGUGUAGCGGUGAAAUGCGUAGAUAUCGGAAGGAAUACCAAUGGCGAAGGCAACUUACUGGGCUGUUAUUGACGCUGAGGCGCGAAAGCGUGGGGAGCAAACAGGAUUAGAUACCCUGGUAGUCCACGCUGUAAACGAUGAGUACUAGCUGUUUUGAUUUCGAUAUUAAAGUAGCGCAGCUAACGCAUUAAGUACUCCGCCUGGGGAUUACGACCGCAAGGUUAAAACUCAAAGGAAUUGACGG
rnacentral:rRNA from 1 species